rnacentral:rRNA from 1 species
AGGAUGAUCAGCCACACUGGAACUGAGACACGGUCCAGACUCCUACGGGAGGCAGCAGUGGGGAAUAUUGCACAAUGGGGGAAACCCUGAUGCAGCCAUGCCGCGUGUGUGAAGAAGGCCUUCGGGUUGUAAAGCACUUUCAGUAGGGAGGAAGGUAGUGUAGUUAACACCUGCAUUAUUUGACGUUACCUACAGAAGAAGCACCGGCUAACUCCGUGCCAGCAG